rnacentral:rRNA from 1 species
GUCGAACGAAGGCCCUAGCUUGCUAGGUGUCCUUAGUGGCGCACGGGUGAGUAACACGUGGGAACAUACCUCAUAGUACGGAAUAACUGCGGGAAACUGUAGCUAAUACCGUAUAUUCCAGAAAUGGGAAAGAUUUAUCGCUAUGAGAUUGGCCCGCGCAAGAUUAGCUUGUUGGUAAGGUAACGGCUUACCAAGGCUCCGAUCUUUAGCUGGUUUGAGAGGAUGAUCAGCCACACUGGGACUGAGACACGGCCCAGACUCCUACGGGAGGCAGCAGUAGGGAAUAUUGGACAAUGGGGGAAACCCUGAUCCAGCAAUGCAGCGUGAGUGACGAAGGCCUUAGGGUUGUAAAACUCUUUCAUCGGUGAGGAUAAUGACAGUAGCCGAAGAAGAAGGACCGGCUAAUUCCGUGCCAGCAGCCGCGGUAAUACGGAAGGUCCUAGCGUUGUUCGGAAUUACUGGGCGUAAAGCGCAUGUAGGCGGAACAAAAAGUUAGAAGUGAAAUCCCUGGGCUCAACCUAGGAAUUGCUUUUAAAACUUUUGUUCUGGAAUUCAGGAGAGGAAAAUGGAAUUUCCAGUGUAGAGGUGAAAUUCGUAGAUAUUGGAAGGAACACCAGUGGCGAAGGCGAUUUUCUGGACUGAUAUUGACGCUGAGAUGCGAAGGCAUGGGUAGCAAACGGGAUUAGAUACCCCGGUAGUCCAUGCAGUAAACGAUGGGUGCUAGUCGUCGGACUUUUGUUCGGUGUCGUAGCUAACGCGUUAAGCACCCCGCCUGGGGAGUACGGUCGCAAGAUUAAAACUCAAAUAAAUUGACGGGGACCCGCACAAGCAGUGGAGCAUGUGGUUUAAUUCGACGCAACGCGAAGAACCUUACCAGCGUUUGACAUGGGAAGUGCCGGUUACAGAAUGGUAACCUUCAGUUCGGCUGGCUUCCACACAGGUGCUGCAUGGCUGUCGUCAGCUCGUGUCGUGAGAUGUUGGGUUAAGUCCCGCAACGAGCGCAACCCUUAUCGUUAGUUACUAACAGUUCGGCUGAGGACUCUAGCGAAACUGCCGGUGAUAAGCCGGAGGAAGGUGGGGAUGACGUCAAGUCCUCAUGGCCCUUACACGCUGGGCUACACACGUGCUACAAUGGUAACUACAACGGGA